rnacentral:rRNA from 1 species
UACGUAGGGGACAAGCGUUAUCCGGAAUUAUUGGGCGUAAAGAGUACGUAGGUGGCAACCUAAGCGCAGGGUUUAAGGCAAUGGCUCAACCAUUGUUCGCCCUGCGAACUGGGAUGCUUGAGUGCAGGAGAGGAAAGCGGAAUUCCUAGUGUAGCGGUGAAAUGCGUAGAUAUUAGGAGGAACACCAGUGGCGAAGGCGGCUUUCUGGACUGUAACUGACACUGAGGUACGAAAGCGUGGGGAGCAAACAGG